GACGUAGGGGGCCAGCGUUGUUCGGAAUUACUGGGUGUAAAGGGUUCGUAGGCGGUGCGGCAAGUUGGGAGUGAAAUCUCUGGGCUUAACCCAGAGGCUGCUUCCAAAACUGCUGUGCUUGAGUGUGGGAGAGGCGCGUGGAAUUGCAGGUGUAGCGGUGAAAUGCGUAGAUAUCAGGAGGAACACCCAUGGCGAAGGCAGCUAACUGGGCAUUAUCUGACGCUGAGGCGCGAAAGCGUGGGUAGCAAACAGG
rnacentral:rRNA from 1 species